UUUUUUACUUGAAUAGCAGCAACCUGAUCCUCAAAGUCACACAUGUGAGACAGCUGUCCUCCAUCUGUUCCAUCAAUAAGACUUUCUGCAGCAAUGGGACUGUUGCUCCCUAUGCUCCAUUGCCUAAGGGAUGAGGAAUUGCAACAUUCUUCUCUUUGAAGAUGAAGAGGAACUUCAUGGAUGUCUUGACACAGCUCUUGCAUUGGUGAAACAAUGUGUGCGUCCACACACAGAACAAGCACAGAAGGACAGGCUUGGUGAUCAAACCAACACAAACCACCCAUCCAAUUUUUCUAUUUUCUGUAUAUCUGGGCAACAAGGCAGCAGCUAUUGUAGUUUUGCAAAUUUGCAUAAUAUUUGCACAAUUGAUGCAAAAAUUGCUUUUCACAAAUGCAAGGACCCUCUUUGAUACCAGCAGGUAAUAUUUUAUGAUCUCACAGGUAAAAAGAAAAAAAGCUAUGGCACUUUCUCAUUCUAGCACAUGAGAUCAAGAUAAUCCAGCAUGUUUACCUCUGUGUUUUCAAUCCACAGUUCUACCUAGUUAAUAAAAUUUUAAAAA